rnacentral:rRNA from 1 species
UACGGGGGGGGCAAGCGUUGUUCGGAAUUACUGGGCGUAAAGGGCUCGUAGGUGGCCAACUAAGUCAGACGUGAAAUCCCUCGGCUUAACCGGGGAACUGCGUCUGAUACUGGAUGGCUUGAGUUCGGGAGAGGGAUGCGGAAUUCCAGGUGUAGCGGUGAAAUGCGUAGAUAUCAGGAGGAACACCGGUGGCGAAGGCGGUGAUCUGGGCCGACACUGACGCUGUAGAGCGAAAGCGUGGGGAGCGAACAGG